ensembl:lncRNA
AGAAAAGGAAAGAAAAGGAAAGAAAAGGAAAGGAAAGGAAAGGAAAGAAAAGGAAAGGAAAGGAAAGGAAAGGAAAGGAAAGGAAAGGAAAGAAAAGAAAAGAAAAGAAAAGAAAAGAAAAGAAAAGAAAAGAAAAGAAAAGAAAAGAAAAGAAAAGAAAAGAAAAGAAAAGAAAAGAAAAAAGAAAAGAAAAGAAAAGAAAAGAAAAGAAAAGAAAAGAAAAGAAAAGAAAAGAAAAGAAAAGAAAAGAAAAGAAAAGAAAAGAAAAGAAAAGAAAAGAAAAGAAAAAUAAUAUAUUGCGAAUGAGGACUCUCAGACAAUACUGUCAAGUCAGAUAAUCAGCUGAGAGGUCAGAGUGCCUUGAGCUGAAUGGUGUCAGAGAUGCGGUGGAAGGUGCUUUGGGCUUGAUACAUCAUCUCUCUUCAGCCUCCCCAAGAAUUUUAAACAGGAAGGGCAAAAGAUGUUUCCAGGAUGAAUUCAUUAAUUCAUAUACAAAUACCCUAAGUCACAAAAAAGGUGUCUUAGCAACAACAGCAGUGCAACAACGUUGAGUACACCAUAAGUUAGUUUUCAUAAGGAUGAAAAAGUGCCUCCAGAGACAACACAUUGCUGAGAAGAAUUAGACGACCAAAGCUGCAGAAGGGACUGCAUCUUUGGGGACACCCCAGAAGUCCAGCACCACAAAAGUCCCUCACAAUACACAUAGAAAUACUGAGGCCAAGAUGGUGCAAGGCAGAGAUGACAUUUCAGUACAAGAAAUCAGCAAGCAGGAGAGAUCUGAGCCAGCAGUGAAGUCUGCAGUGCUGAAACCAUCAGGAGCAUGAACAGCCUGGCUUCAGUUUCUGUCCAUUGUUGACAUAGAAUCCACAUCGCCUGGUGGCCAGGAUGUUAACUGGAUACAGAAACUGGAAGCAGAAUUCCUUUCCCCCAGGUGAGUCUUGAAAAAAUUGAAUUCUGG